rnacentral:tRNA from 1 species
GAGGAUAUAGCUCAGUGGUAGAGUGCAUGCCUAGCAUGUAUGAGGUCCUGGGUUCAAUCCCCAGUACCUCCA